GCCGAUAUGGUGUAAUGGUAUCACAGUACAUUGCUAAUGUAUCAAGCAGAAAUGCUUUCUAGGUUCGAGUCCUAGUGUCGGCG
rnacentral:tRNA from 1 species